GAUGAAGAACGUAGCGAAGUGCGAUAAGUAGUGUGAAUUGCAGAAUUCCGUGAAUCAUCGAAUCUUUGAACGCAAAUUGCACUUUCUGGUAUUCCGGAAAGUAUGCCUGUUUGAGGGUCGGCUAAAUAAGAAAUCAAUGUGUUGCUUAGUAACAUAUUGGAAUUGGAUCAUCUUAACCUUGUUAAGCGAUCUAAAAAUUAUUUUGCUUCGGUAUGAUUACGAACUUAAUAAAUUUCGUCGUUUGAUAUAUCGAAUGUUAUUUUUAUUAGAUGUAACCAUUUUUAAUGGUUUUUACGUCUAUAAUUUUUGAUUUCGACCUCAAAUCAGGUAAGAGGACCCGCUGAACUUAAGCAUAUCAAUAAGCGGAGGA
rnacentral:misc_RNA from 1 species